rnacentral:rRNA from 1 species
AAAUUGAAGAGUUUGAUCAUGGCUCAGAUUGAACGCUGGCGGCAGGCCUAACACAUGCAAGUCGAACGGUAACAGGAAGAAGCUUGCUUCUUUGCUGACGAGUGGCGGACGGGUGAGUAAUGUCUGGGAAACUGCCUGAUGGAGGGGGAUAACUACUGGAAACGGUAGCUAAUACCGCAUAAUGUCGCAAGACCAAAGAGGGGGACCUUCGGGCCUCUUGCCAUCGGAUGUGCCCAGAUGGGAUUAGCUAGUAGGUGGGGUAAAGGCUCACCUAGGCGACGAUCCCUAGCUGGUCUGAGAGGAUGACCAGCCACACUGGAACUGAGACACGGUCCAGACUCCUACGGGAGGCAGCAGUGGGGAAUAUUGCACAAUGGGCGCAAGCCUGAUGCAGCCAUGCCGCGUGUAUGAAGAAGGCCUUCGGGUUGUAAAGUACUUUCAGCGGGGAGGAAGGGAGUAAAGUUAAUACCUUUGCUCAUUGACGUUACCCGCAGAAGAAGCACCGGCUAACUCCGUGCCAGCAGCCGCGGUAAUACGGAGGGUGCAAGCGUUAAUCGGAAUUACUGGGCGUAAAGCGCACGCAGGCGGUUUGUUAAGUCAGAUGUGAAAUCCCCGGGCUCAACCUGGGAACUGCAUCUGAUACUGGCAAGCUUGAGUCUCGUAGAGGGGGGUAGAAUUCCAGGUGUAGCGGUGAAAUGCGUAGAGAUCUGGAGGAAUACCGGUGGCGAAGGCGGCCCCCUGGACGAAGACUGACGCUCAGGUGCGAAAGCGUGGGGAGCAAACAGGAUUAGAUACCCUGGUAGUCCACGCCGUAAACGAUGUCGACUUGGAGGUUGUGCCCUUGAGGCGUGGCUUCCGGAGCUAACGCGUUAAGUCGACCGCCUGGGGAGUACGGCCGCAAGGUUAAAACUCAAAUGAAUUGACGGGGGCCCGCACAAGCGGUGGAGCAUGUGGUUUAAUUCGAUGCAACGCGAAGAACCUUACCUGGUCUUGACAUCCACGGAAGUUUUCAGAGAUGAGAAUGUGCCUUCGGGAACCGUGAGACAGGUGCUGCAUGGCUGUCGUCAGCUCGUGUUGUGAAAUGUUGGGUUAAGUCCCGCAACGAGCGCAACCCUUAUCCUUUGUUGCCAGCGGUCCGGCCGGGAACUCAAAGGAGACUGCCAGUGAUAAACUGGAGGAAGGUGGGGAUGACGUCAAGUCAUCAUGGCCCUUACGACCAGGGCUACACACGUGCUACAAUGGCGCAUACAAAGAGAAGCGACCUCGCGAGAGCAAGCGGACCUCAUAAAGUGCGUCGUAGUCCGGAUUGGAGUCUGCAACUCGACUCCAUGAAGUCGGAAUCGCUAGUAAUCGUGGAUCAGAAUGCCACGGUGAAUACGUUCCCGGGCCUUGUACACACCGCCCGUCACACCAUGGGAGUGGGUUGCAAAAGAAGUAGGUAGCUUAACCUUCGGGAGGGCGCUUACCACUUUGUGAUUCAUGACUGGGGUGAAGUCGUAACAAGGUAACCGUAGGGGAACCUGCGGUUGGAUCACCUCCUUACCUUAAAGAAGC